rnacentral:rRNA from 1 species
AUUGAACGCUGGCGGCAGGCCUAACACAUGCAAGUCGAACGAGUGGCGGACGGGUGAGUAAUGUCUGGGAAACUGCCCGAUGGCGGGGGAUAACUACUGGAAACGGUAGCUAAUACCGCAUACCAUCGGAUGUGCCCAGAGGGGAUUAGCUAGUAGGUGGGGUAAUGGCUCACCUCGGCGACGAUCCCUAGCUGGUCUGAGAGGAUGACCAGCCACACUGGAACUGAGACACGGCCCAGACUCCUACGGGAGGCAGCAGUGGGGAAUAUUGCACAAUGGGCGCAAGCCUGAUGCAGCCAUGCCGCGUGUAUGAAGAAGGCCUUCGGGUUGUAAAGUACUUUCUGCGGGGAGGCGUUACCCGCAGAAGAAGCACCGGCUAACUCCGUGCCAGCAGCCGCGGUAAUAC